rnacentral:rRNA from 1 species
AUUGAACGCUGGCGGCAGGCCUAACACAUGCAAGUCGAGCGAGCGGCGGACGGGUGAGUAAUGUCUGGGAAACUGCCUGAUGGAGGGGGAUAACUACUGGAAACGGUAGCUAAUACCGCAUACCAUCAGAUGUGCCCAGAUGGGCUUAGCUAGUAGGUGGGGUAACGGCUCACCUAGGCGACGAGCCCGAGCGGGUCUGAGAGGAUGACCAGCCACACGGGCACUGAGACACGGUCCAGACUCCUACGGGAGGCAGCAGUGGGGAAUAUUGCGCAUGGGGCGCAAGCCGGAUGGAGCCAUGCCGCGUGUGUGAAGAAGGUCUUCGGGUUGUAAAGCACUGUCAGCGGAGAGGCGUUACCCGCAGAAGAAGCACCGGCUAACUCCGUGCCAGCAGCCGCGGUAAUUC